rnacentral:rRNA from 1 species
AUUGAACGCUGGCGGCAGGCCUAACACAUGCAAGUCGAACGUGUGGCAGACGGGUGAGUAUUGUCUGGAAAAAAGCCCGAGGGAGGGGGAGAACGAGUGUAAACGGUAGCAAAUACAGCAUACCAUCGGAUGUGCCAUUAUGGGAUUAGCUAGUAGGUGGGGUAACGGCUCACUUAGGCGACGAUCCAUAGCUGGUCAGAGAGGAAGACCGGCCAAACAGGAACUUAGACACGGUCCAGACUCCUACGGGAUGCAGCAGUGGGGAAUAGUGCACAAUGGCCGCAACUCUGAUGCAGCCAUGCCGCGUGUUUGAAGAAGGCCGUCGGGUUGUAAAGUACUUUCAGCGAGGAGGCGUUACUCGCAGAAGAAGCACCGGCUAACUCCGUGCCAGCCGCCGCGGUAAUAC